GCAGAAAGCACUGAUCUCUACAAAACAGAACAUGUUACAGGACUACUCAUUUACUCGUAUAGAGCAGUUUUCUGAAGAAAAAUCCUUGCAAAUGUUUUUUUUUUUUUUUUACCUCAAAAUUUCUGAUUACUG